rnacentral:rRNA from 1 species
AGAGUUUGAUCAUGGCUCAGAUUGAACGCUGGCGGCAUGCUUUACACAUGCAAGUCGAACGGUAACGCGGGGGCAACCCUGGCGACGAGUGGCGAACGGGUGAGUAAUACAUCGGAACGUGCCCAGUAGUGGGGGAUAGCUCGGCGAAAGCCGGAUUAAUACCGCAUACGACCUACGGGUGAAAGCGGGGGAUCGCAAGACCUCGCGCUAUUGGAGCGGCCGAUGGCAGAUUAGCUUGUUGGUGGGGUAAAAGCCUACCAAGGCGACGAUCUGUAGCUGGUCUGAGAGGACGACCAGCCACACUGGGACUGAGACACGGCCCAGACUCCUACGGGAGGCAGCAGUGGGGAAUUUUGGACAAUGGGCGCAAGCCUGAUCCAGCAAUGCCGCGUGUGUGAUGAAGGCCUUCGGGUUGUAAAGCACUUUUAGUGGGAACGAAACGGUCCGGGUUAAUACCCUGGACUACUGACGGUACCCGCAGAAUAAGCACCGGCUAACUACGUGCCAGCAGCCGCGGUAAUACGUAGGGUGCAAGCGUUAAUCGGAAUUACUGGGCGUAAAGCGUGCGCAGGCGGUUUUGUAAGACCGAUGUGAAAUCCCCGGGCUUAACCUGGGAACUACAUUGGUGACUGCAAGGCUUGAGUGUGUCAGAGGGAGGUGGAAUUCCGCGUAGCAGUGAAAUGCGUAGAUAUGCGGAGGAACACCGAUGGCGAAGGCAGCCUCCUGGGAUAACACUGACGCUCAUGCACGAAAGCGUGGGGAGCAAACAGGAUUAGAUACCCUAGUAGUCC